AGUGAACGCUGGCGGCAGGCCUAACACAUGCAAGUCGAACGGCAGCACAGUAAUUGCUUGCGGUUACGGGUGGCGAGUGGCGGACGGGGGCGGAAUACAUCGGAAUCUACUUGGUCGUGGGUGCUAACGUAGGGAAACUUACGCUAAUACAGCAUACGACGUACGUGGGAAAGCAGGGGACCUUCUGACCUUGCGCGGUGGAAUGAGCCGAGGUCGGAUUAGCUAGGUGGCGGGGUAAAGGCGUACCAAGGCGACGAUGCGUAGCGGGCCUGAGAGGAAGAUCCGCCACCCUGGCAGAGAGGCACGGCCCAGACUCCUACGGGAGGCAGCAGUGCGGAAUCUUGCACAAUGGGGGAAAGGCUGAUCCAGCCCUACCGGGUGGGUGAAGAAGGACUUCGGCUUGGAAAGUCCUUUUGUUGGUAAGGAAGUGCAGUUCUUUAAUCCCCGGCUGUUAUGACGGUACCCAAAGAAUAAGCACCGGCUAACUUCGUG
rnacentral:rRNA from 1 species